rnacentral:rRNA from 1 species
CUCUGUGACUCCUACGGGAGGCAGCAGUGGGGAAUAUUGCACAAUGGGCGCAAGCCUGAUGCGGCAACGCCGUGUGAGUGAAGAAGGUUUUCGGAUCGUAAAACUCUGUCCUAAGGGAAGAAACAAAUGACGGUACCUUAGGAGGAAGCCCCGGCUAACUACGUGCCAGCAGCCGCGGUAAUACGUAGGGGGCAAGCGUUAUCCGGAAUCACUGGGCGUAAAGGGUGCGUAGGCGGCUUAGCAAGCCAGGGGUGAAAGGCAUUGGCUCAACCAAUGUAAGCCUUUGGAACUGUUAAGCUUGAGUGCAGGAGAGGUAAGUGGAAUUCCUAGUGUAGAGGUGAAAUUCGUAGAUAUUAGGAGGAACACCAGUGGCGAAGGCGACUUACUGGACUGUAACUGACGCUGAUGCACGAAAGCGUGGGUAGCGAACAGGAUUAGAUACCCUGGUAG